rnacentral:rRNA from 1 species
GACGUAGGGGACGAGCGUUGUCCGGAUUCAUUGGGCGUAAAGCGCGCGUAGGCGGUUACGCAAGUCGGUUGUGAAAAUCCGGGGCUCAACCCCGGACCUGCAUCCGAUACUGCGUGACUAGAGGUAGGUAGGGGAGAUCGGAAUUCCUGGUGUAGCGGUGAAAUGCGUAGAUAUAUGGAGGAAUACCAGUGGCGAAGGCGGCCUCCUGGCUCGAUACUGACGCUGAGGUGCGAAAGCGUGGGGAUCAAACAGG